rnacentral:rRNA from 1 species
UNNCACUUAGAAAUAGGUGCUAAUACCGCAUAAGCGNACNGCUUCGCAUGAAGCAGUGUGGANAACUCCGGUGGUAUACGAUGGAUCUGCGUCUGAUUAGCUUGUUGGCGGGGUAAAGGCCCACCAAGGCGACGAUCAGUAGCCGGCCUGAGAGGGUGAACGGCCACAUUGGGACUGAGACACGGCCCAAACUCCUACGGGAGGCANCNNUGGGGAAUAUUGCACAAUGGGGGAAACCCUGAUGCAGCGACCCCGCNUGAGUGAAGAANUAUUUCGGUAUGUAAAGCUCUAUCAGCAGGGAANANAUAAAGUCCUUUGGACUUUGGACGGNNCCUGANUAANAAGCCCCGGCUAACUACGUGCCNGCANCCGCGGUAAUACGUAGGGGGCAAGCGUUAUCCGGAUUUACUGNGUGUAAAGGGAGCGUANACGGCAGCGCAAGUCUGGAGUGAAAUCCCAUGGCUUANCCNUGGAACUGCUUUGGAAACUGUGCANCUAGANUGCAGGAGAGGUAAGCGGAAUUCCUAGUGUAGCGGUGAAAUGCGUAGAUAUUAGGAGGAACACCAGUGGCGAAGGCGGCUUACUGGANUGUAACUGACGUUGAGGCUCGAAAGCGUGGGGAGCAAACAGGAUUAGAUACCCUGGUAGUCCACGCUGUAAACGAUGAUCACUAGGUGU